rnacentral:rRNA from 1 species
ACGGGUGAGUAACACGUGGGUAACCUGCCCCGAUGAUUGGGACAACCCGGGGAAACUCGGGCUAAUACCAAAUGUGCUCGUGGACCAUAAGGUCUACGUGGAAAGGAAGCUUCGGCCUCCGCAUCGGGAUGGGCCCGCGGCCCAUUAGUUUGUUGGUGAGGUAACGGCUCACCAAGACUUCGAUGGGUAGCUGGUCUGAGAGGACGAUCAGCCACACUGGGACUGAGACACGGCCCAGACUCCUACGGGAGGCAGCAGUGGGGAAUCUUGCACAAUGCGCGAAAGCGUGAUGCAACAACGCCGCGUGGGGGAAGACGGCCUUCGGGUUGUAAACCCCUUUCAGUUGGGACGAAGCUUCGCCGGUGAACAGCCGGCCGGAGUGACGGUACCUUCAGAAGAAGCCCCGGCUAACUACGUGCCAGCAGCCGCGGUAAUACGUAGGGGGCAAGCGUUGUCCGGAAUCAUUGGGCGUAAAGAGCGUGUAGGCGGUCUGGUAAGUCCGUUGUGAAAGUCCAAGGCUCAACCUUGGAAUGCCGAUGGAUACUGUCAGGCUCGAGUCCGGAAGAGGCGAGUGGAAUUCCUG